CUGGGAUUGCCUUAGUAACGGCGAGUGAAGCGGCAAUAGCUCAAAUUUGAAAGCUGGCUCCUUCGGAGUCCGCGUUGUAAUUUGUAGAGGAUGCUUCGGCAAGGGCUCCCGUCUAAGUCCCCUGGAACGGGGCGUCACAGAGGGUGAGAAUCCCGUAUGUGAUGGGUUGCCUAAGCCAUGUGAAGCUCCUUCGACGAGUCGAGUUGUUUGGGAAUGCAGCUCUAAAUGGGAGGUAAAUUUCUUCUAAAGCUAAAUACCGGCCAGAGACCGAUAGCGCACAAGUAGAGUGAUCGAAAGAUGAAAAGCACUUUGGAAAGAGAGUUAAAAAGUACGUGAAAUUGUUGAAAGGGAAGCGCUUGCAGCCAGACUUGUCCGCAGUUGCUCAGCCGGUCUCUUGACCGGCGUACUCUUCUGCGGCCAGGCCAGCAUCAGUUCGGGCGGUCGGAUAAAGGUCCUGGGAAUGUAGCUCCCCUCGGGGAGUGUUAUAGCCCAGGGCGCAAUGCGGCCAGCCUGGACUGAGGAUCUCGCUUCGGCUAGGAUGCUGGCGUAAUGGCUGUAAGCGGCCCGUCUUGAAACACGGACCAAGGAGUCUAACAUCUAUGCGAGUGUUUGGGUGUCAAACCCAUGCGCGUAAUGAAAGUGAACGGAGGUGGGAACCCUCACGGGUGCACCAUCGACCGAUCCUGAUGUCUUCGGAUGGAUUUGAGUAAGAGCAUAGCUGUUGGGACCCGAAAGAUGGUGAACUAUGCCUGAAUAGGGUGAAGCCAGAGGAAACUCUGGUGGAGGCUCGCAGCGGUUCUGACGUGCAAAUCGAUCGUCAAAUUUGGGUAUAGGGGCGAAAGACUAAUC
rnacentral:rRNA from 1 species